UGGCUGCCUGGGCCUCGGCGUGGGUCUGGAACUUCACGAAGGCGCAGCCUGGAGAUGGAGGGAAAAGGGACUCUGCGCUUCAGCUUCUCCAAGGCCUGGGCCUGAAGCGGGAGCAGGGGGACCAGGUCCGAAGGCACAGAACCUACCUCCUCGACUCUCGCUGUCGGCGGGCUUGACCUGGAUCGGCCUGUUCAUCUACAGGAGAGAAGAGAAGGCAGCUGCUUGGUCCUGAACACCCGAGAGCCCUGCCCAGUGAGAAUGGAGAAAUUCCCAGUUUCACUCUCCAUCUGCUGCUUGGUGAGAAGACUUGGAUGUCACUCCCACAGUGCCAUCACCAAAGCCACCGGGAGAUUCCCUCACGGGCCCCGCCCCGCUCUGCUCUGCGAGGAGGAGGAAGAGCCAGGGACGCUGUGCCGAGCACUGACCCCUUCCCAACAGGCCCCUGGGGAUUUGCUGUUCUGGGCAGAGAUGGGGAACCUGAGGCCCAGAGAGAAAGGAUGCGGUUCCCUCCCUGGACAGGCCUCCAGGCACAAAAAUAGCAGAGCAAUAAAUACCCACAGUGAUGUGGAUGUGCACAAAGACACACACAAAUGCAGACCACAGAGCGCCGCGGUGAUGGAAGGCUCCCUGAGUGCCCCCCAGCCCCAGCCACCUCCUCCCUGGCCUGGCACUUCCUGUGGGAAGCCCAGGCUUUGUUAGCUCAACUCUGCACACCUGCCCCCUCCCCUGAGUCCAGCUGUGCUCUGUUUACCUGGCAACCGAGCACAGCCGCACCUCUGCUCUUUCCUAGCUACCACUCGCCAGGUGAUAAGCCCUCCCCAGGGCCUCCCAAAGAAGAAGGGGCUAUUUAUACCCCAAGCAAGGAUCCCCCCACUGCUCCAUCACCCGGGUCACUUUGAAGGCCCAUCCUCACCAGCAGAAAAGACUGCACUUCCCAGAGGCGCUCAAUGUCCCCGAAGAAUCUGGGGCCCUGCCACUCCUGGCUGCAUUCCUAUUACCUGUGACCCAGACCACAGGCAAGUGGGGCUGGAGCCCACCUUCCCAGCUGAGCAGGCUCGACAGAGGUGUCCCUCAGCCCCCCACACCCUGGAAGCCACACCCUGCUCACAGGACAGAUCCAAGGACCUGUGGCAGAGCCACCCCGGGAGAGAAGAGGAAGUGGGGUUCAACGGUCACAGGCCAAGCCCCACUCUCUCUGAGCACCCA